GCGCUCGUAGCUCAACGGACAGAGCACUUGUCUUCGGAACAAGGGAUGAGAGUUCGAUUCCCUCCGAGCGCACCA
rnacentral:tRNA from 3 species